rnacentral:rRNA from 1 species
UACGGAGGGGACUAGCGUUGUUCGGAAUUACUGGGCGUAAAGCGCACGUAGGCGGAUUUGUAAGUCAGGGGUGAAAUCCCGGGGCUCAACCUCGGAACUGCCUUUGAUACUGCAAAUCUCGAGUCCGGAAGAGGUGAGUGGAAUUCCUAGUGUAGAGGUGAAAUUCGUAGGUAUUAGGAAGAACACCAGUGGCGAAGGCGGCUCACUGGUCCGGUACUGACGCUGAGACGCGAAAGCGUGGGGAGCAAACAGG